rnacentral:rRNA from 1 species
GACAGAGGAUGCAAGCGUUAUCCGGAAUGAUUGGGCGUAAAGCGUCUGUAGGUGGCUUUUUAAGUCCGCCGUCAAAUCCCAGGGCUCAACCCUGGACAGGCGGUGGAAACUACCAAGCUGGAGUACGGUAGGGGCAGAGGGAAUUUCCGGUGGAGCGGUGAAAUGCGCAGAUAUCGGGAAGAACACCCGUGGCGAAGGCGGCUCUCUGGGACGGUACUGACGUUGAGACGCGAAAGCGUGGGGAGCGAACAGG